rnacentral:rRNA from 1 species
UAUCUCUGUAGAGUCUGCAUAUCAAUAAGCGGAGGAAAAGAAACUAACAAGGAUUCCCUUAGUAACGGCGAGUGAAGCGGGAAGAGCUCAAAUUUGAAAUCUUCAAGGUUCUACCUUGACGAAUUGUAGUUUAAAGAAGUGUUUUCUGUUAGAUGAGUAGCAAAAGUUCCUUGGAAUGGGACAUCAUAGAGGGUGAGAAUCCCGUAUUUGGUUAUUCAUUCUAGCUUUGUGAUACACUUUCAAAGAGUCGGAUUGUUUGGGAAUGCAGUCCAAAAUGGGUGGUAAAUUUCAUCUAAAGCUAAAUAUUGGCGAGAGACCGAUAGCGAACAAGUACCGUGAGGGAAAGAUGAAAAGAACUUUGAAAAGAGAGUUAAACAGUACGUGAAAUUGUCAAAAGGGAAGCGUUUGACACCAGUGUUGUUUUUCCGAAAAUCAAUUACGAAUGGCUUGAUUUUGUGUUGUAUUGACCUUAUCAGCUUUCUUCACUUUUUUCGAGUCUUUCUUAAUGCACUUUUCGGUUAACAAGUCAACAUCAAUUUCUUUUGUUGUAAAAGAGUAUUCGGAAGGUGGCUUUCUUUUCGGAGAAAGUGUUUAUAGCCCUAUACUUCUACAAUCGGAGAGAUUGAGGUCCGCAGCGUAGAUCCUUCGGGGUUAGAUACACUUGUGCUAAGUUGUAGCUUUUCAUAGACAACUUGUUGACUAUGUUUAGUCAUGCGGCUUACUCGCUUGUGCUAUUUUACCUACGCUUAGGAUGUUGACUGAUAUGUAGUCGUA